rnacentral:rRNA from 1 species
CCUACGGGGCGCAGCAGUGGGGAAUAUUGGGCAAUGGGCGCAAGCCUGACCCAGCAACGCCGCGUGAAGGAAGAAGGCCCUCGGGUUGUAAACUUCUUUUGUCAGGGACGAAACAAAUGACGGUACCUGACGAAUAAGCCACGGCUAACUACGUGCCAGCAGCCGCGGUAAUACGUAGGUGGCAAGCGUUAUCCGGAUUUACUGGGUGUAAAGGGCGUGUAGGCGGGAGAGCAAGUCAGAUGUGAAAUUCCAGGGCUCAACCCUGGAACUGCAUUUGAAACUGUUUUUCUUGAGUGAUGGAGAGG